CCACAGAUGACGAGUCCUGAAUAGGACGAAACGCGCGUCCUGGAU
rfam:Schistosoma rodhaini strain Burundi genome assembly, scaffold: SROB_scaffold0003611